rnacentral:rRNA from 1 species
UACGUAGGGUGCAAGCGUUGUCCGGAAUUAUUGGGCGUAAAAGCGUCUCUGUGAGCGGUUUGUCGCGUCUGCUGUGAAAACUCGGGGCUUAACUCCGGCCUGCAGUGGGUACGGGCAGACUAGAGUGCGGUAGGGGAGACUGGAAUUCCUGGUGUAGCGGUGAAAUGCGCAGAUAUCAGGAGGAACACCGGUGGCGAAGGCGGGUCUCUGGGCCGUAACUGACGCUGAGGAGCGAAAGCGUGGGGAGCGAACAGG